AUUGAACGCUGGCGGAAUGCUUUACACAUGCAAGUCGAACGGCAGCACGGGUGCUUGCACCUGGUGGCGAGUGGCGAACGGGUGAGUAAUGCACCGGAACGUAUCCAAUAAUGGGGGAUAACGCACCGAAAGGUGUGCUAAUACCGCAUACGCCCUGAGGGGGAAAGCGGGGGAUCGUAAGACCUCGCGUUAAUGGAGCGGCCGAUGCCGGAUUAGCUAGUUGGUGAGGUAAAGGCUCACCAAGGCGACGAUCCGUAGCUGGUCUGAGAGGACGACCAGCCACACUGGAACUGAGACACGGUCCAGACUCCUACGGGAGGCAGCAGUGGGGAAUAUUGGACAAUGGGCGGAAGCCUGAUCCAGCAACGCCGCGUGAGGGGAUGACGGCCUUCGGGUUGUAACCGUCCUUCAGUACCGACGAAGACGCCGACUGAUGGUGGUGACGGUAGGUAC
rnacentral:rRNA from 1 species